AGCUGGUCCGAUGGUAGUGGGUUAUCAGAACUUACUAACAUUAGUGUCACUAAAGUUGGUAUUCAACCCCCCACUGCUAAAUUUGACUGGCUUAAA
rnacentral:Y_RNA from 1 species